AGGAUUAACGUUGGCGGCGUGCAUAACACAUGCAAGUUGAGCGUGGCUUUAGUUUACUAAAGUCUAGCAGCGGACGGCUGAGUAAUGCACAGGAACGUACCUCGAAGUGGGGGGAUAGCCCUUCGAAAGAAGGGGUAAUACCGCAUGUGAUCGUAAGAUCAAAGCCGCAAGGCGCUUUGAGAGCGGCCUGUGUCCUAUCAGAUUGUUGGUGGGGUAAUGGCCUACCAAGUCUAUGACGGGUAGCUGGUCUGAGAGGAUGACCAGCCAGAUCGGGACUGAGACACGGCCCGAACUCCUACGGGAGGCAGCAGUUGGGAAUUUUGCGCAAUGGACGAAAGUCUGACGCAGCGACGCCGCGUGGAGGAUGAAGGUUUUCGGAUCGUAAACUCCUUUUGCGAGGGAGUAAUUUGUGAACGUACCUCGCGAAUAAGCACCGGCUAACUCCGCGCCAGCAGCCGC
rnacentral:rRNA from 1 species